CAGAGGUUACUGCUAUCGAGRUUSGCWCGYWAGCCAUGCGAGUUGAAUGUUCUUCGUGAACAUGGCGGACUGCUCAGUAACACGUGGACAACCUACCCUUGGGUCCGGCAUAAUCCUGGGAAACUGGGAAUAAUUCCGGAUAGGUCACCGAUGCUGGAAUGCGCGGUGGCCGAAAGCUCCGGCGCCCGAGGAUGGGUCUGCGGCCUAUCAGGGUUGUAGUGGGUGUAACGUACCUACUAGCCUACGACGGGUACGGGUUGUGAGAGCAAGAGCCCGGAGAUGGAUUCUGAGACACGAAUCCAGGCCCUACGGGGUGCAGCAGGCGCGAAAACUUUACAAUGCGGGAAACCGUGAUAAGGGGAUCUCGAGUGCCAGCAUAUAAUGUUGGCUGUCCAGAUGCCUAAAAAGCAUCUGUUAGCAAGGGCCGGGCAAGACCGGUGCCAGCCGCCGCGGUAACACCGGCGGCCCGAGUGGUAACCGCUAUUAUUGGGUCUAAAGGGUCUGUAGCCGGCCAGGUAAGUCCCUUGGGAAAUCUGGCAGCUCAACUGUCAGGCUGCUAGGGGAUACUGUUUGGCUUGGGACCGGGAGAGGUGAGAGGUACCUUGGGGGUAGGGGUGAAAUCUUGUGAUCCUCGAGGGACCACCAGUGGCGAAGGCGUCUCACCAGAACGGGUCCGACGGUAAGGGACGAAAGCUAGGGGCACGAACCGGAUUAGAUACCCGGGUAGUCCUAGCCGUAAACGAUGCUCGCUAGGUGUCAGUCACGGUGCGACCGUGAUUGGUGCCGUAGGGAAGCCGUGAAGCGAGCCACCUGGGAAGUAUGGCCGCAAGGCUGAAACUUAAAGGAAUUGGCGGGGGAGCACUACAWCGGGUGGAGCCUGCGGUUUAUUG
rnacentral:rRNA from 1 species